rnacentral:lncRNA from 1 species
GGUAGAGGUGGAUAUAUAUGAAUGCGCAUCGACAUCUCGAGCUUAGUAGACAGGCAUAGAGAAGGCUAUCAACUAUAUAUUGAGAAGAUUCGAGCUAACAGUUUAAGCGACAGGCCUCUAGGCUCUAGAUGAGCUUCAUGGUAGCAAAAAAGAGGGAAGUGAUGGAUUAGAGAGAGAAAAAAAAGAAAAGGCAAAAGGUUAAUGGAUGGAA